GAGGAAUAUUGCACAAUGGGCGCAAGCCUGAUGCAGCGACGCCGCGUGGGGGAUGACGGCCUUCGGGUUGUAAACUCCUUUCGCUAGGGACGAAGCUUUUUGUGACGGUACCUAGAUAAGAAGCACCGGCUAACUACGUGCCAGCAGCCGCGGUAAUACGUAGGGUGCGAGCGUUGUCCGGAAUUACUGGGCGUAAAGGGCUCGUAGGUGGUUUGUCGCGUCGUCUGUGAAAUUCCGGGGCUUAACUCCGGGCGUGCAGGCGAUACGGGCAUAACUUGAGUACUGUAGGGGUAACUGGAAUUCCUGGUGUAGCGGUGAAAUGCGCAGAUAUCAGGAGGAACACCGAUGGCGAAGGCAGGUUACUGGGCAGUUACUGACGCUGAGGAGCGAAAGCAUGGGUAGCGAACAGGAUUAGAUACCCUGGUAGUCCAUGCCGUAAACGGUGGGCGCUAGGUGUGAGGGUCUUUUCACGACUUUCGUGCCGUAGCUAACGCAUUAAGCGCCCCGCCUGGGGAGUACGGCCGCAAGGCUA
rnacentral:rRNA from 1 species